GAGUUCAAGGACUCAAAUACCGAGUUACUGGUGCCGAGUUUGGUAAACCCAUUUCCUGCUAAGGUUAUGCCUUUUGCGAUAUUGAGCAGAGAGUUUCCUUUUCUACUUAACAAUGCGAGGAGGUUCAGAGAAACAAAGGGUAUUAUGAUAAAUACAUUUUUGGAGCUCGAAUCCCAUGCGAUCGAGUCUUUCAAAAUGCUUCCCGUUUACCCUGUGGGACCUAUUUUGCAUUUGGGGUCGGAUGGAGCAAACGCUCACCAAGAAAUCAUGCAGUGGCUAGAUGAUCAGCCUCCAUCAUCAGUAGUGUUCUUGUGCUUCGGGAGCAUGGGAAGU
rnacentral:misc_RNA from 1 species